GACGAACGCUGGCGGCGUGCUUAACACAUGCAAGUCGAACGGAGUGGCGAACGGGUGAGUAACACGUGUGUGACCUGCCCUGCACUUCGGGAUAAGCAUGGGAAACUGGGUCUGAUACCGGCUAGUGUGGGAUGGGCCCGCGGCCUAUCGGCUUGUUGGUGGGGUAAUGGCCUGCCACGGCGGGGACGGGUAGCCGGCCUGGGAGGGUGGACGGCCACAUUGGUACUGAGACAGGGCCCAGACUCCUACGGGGGGCAGUGGGGGGGAAUAUUGCACAAUGGGGGGAAGCCUGAUGCAGCGACGCCGCGUGGGGGAUGACGGCCUUCGGGUUGUAAACGCCAUUCACCAUCGACGCGGUAGAUGGAGAAGAAGCACCGGCUAACUACGUGCCAGCAGCCGCGGUAAUAC
rnacentral:rRNA from 1 species